ensembl:snoRNA SNORA74 Small nucleolar RNA SNORA74
CCCAGCUGUAAGCAACUACGUAGGUUGCCUUGUAGCUAGGCAAGUGUUCCACUGCUGGGAGAGAAGCAGCUGAUAGCUGGCGGGCGUCUGGGCCUGGUUAAUGCCAAAUCUGCGUUAACUAU